rnacentral:rRNA from 1 species
AGUGAACGCUGGCGGUAGGCCUAACACAUGCAAGUCGAACGGCAGCACAGUAAGAGCUUGCUCUUACGGGUGGCGAGUGGCGGACGGGUGAGGAAUACAUCGGAAUCUACUUUUUCGUGGGGGAUAACGUAGGGAAACUUACGCUAAUACCGCAUACGACCUACGGGUGAAAGCAGGGGAUCUUCGGACCUUGCGCGAUUGAAUGAGCCGAUGUCGGAUUAGCUAGUUGGCGGGGUAAAGGCCCACCAAGGCGACGAUCCGUAGCUGGUCUGAGAGGAUGAGCAGCCAGACUGGAACUGAGCGACGGUCCAGACUCCUACGGGAGGCAGCAGUGGGGAAUAUUGGACAAUGGGGGCAAUCCUGAUCCAGCGAUACCGAGUAGGUGAAGAAGGCGUUCGGGUUGUAAAGACGUUUGGUUGGGAAAGAAAAGCAGCAGGUUAAUACCCCGCUGUUCUGACGGGACCCAAAGAAUAAGCACCGGCUAACUUCGUG